rnacentral:rRNA from 1 species
AUUGAACGCUGGCGGCAGGCCUAACACAUGCAAGUCGAACGGUAACAGGAAGCAGCUUGCUGCUUCGCUGACGAGUGGCGGACGGGUGAGUAAUGUCUGGGAAGCUGCCUGAUGGAGGGGGAUAACUACUGGAAACGGUAGCUAAUACCGCAUAAUGUCGCAAGAUCAAAGAGGGGGACCUUCGGGCCUCUUGCCAUCGGAUGUGCCCAGAUGGGAUUAGCUUGUUGGUGGGGUAACGGCUCACCAAGGCGACGAUCCCUAGCUGGUCUGAGAGGAUGACCAGCCACACUGGAACUGAGACACGGUCCAGACUCCUACGGGAGGCAGCAGUGGGGAAUAUUGCACAAUGGGCGCAAGCCUGAUGCAGCCAUGCCGCGUGUAUGAAGAAGGCCUUCGGGUUGUAAAGUACUUUCAGCGGGGAGGAAGGGAGUAAAGUUAAUACCUUUGCUCAUUGACGUUACCCGCAGAAGAAGCACCGGCUAACUCCGUG